UAGCAUCUCUCAUUCUGUGUAGAGUGGGUUGCAGGAGGAUACAGACGGCCAUCUCCGAUUCGUCAGUCCAAAAGACAACUCACAAUGUUGCCGUUCAAGCCUCUCAACUUAAACUUCUCCCUCCGCCCAUCUCCGCCGCAAGUCGCUCUCAACAGCUUCUGGGGCAUACACUUCCCGCCCUCCGCGCGCCGGAGCGUGCAGGUCCAAGCGACUGUCGGCGGUGGAGACCAGAGCCAGACGAUGACGACGACUUCGUUGGACAGUAAAGAGAUGAAGGAGAAGAAGGGGCCAAUGGAACCUAGUUCCAGCGUUGACGAAGGGAUACAAGUGAGAGCGGUGGUGACAAUAAAGAAGAAGAUGAAGGAGAAGAUCGGUGAAAAGCUUGGGGAUCAGUGGGAGUACUUGGUCAACGGCGUUGGUCAAGGCAUCAAGAUUCAACUCAUUAGCCACGACAUCGACCCUGUUACUAAUUCUGGGAAAAGCGUGCAAACCUACGUGAAAGGGUGGAUACCGAAACCAUCGAACGUAUCUUACAUUGUGGAGUACACUGCUGAUUUCAGCGUCCCUAGUGGCUUUGGAUGCCCGGGUGCAAUUCUCAUCACUAAUCUUCACGGGAAAGAGUUCUACCUUGUGGAGAUCAUCGUUCAUGGCUUCAGUGGAGGACCCGUUUUCUUCCCAGCAAACACCUGGAUUCAUUCCCGAAAUGACAACCCUGAAAGCAGAAUCAUAUUCAAUAACCAAGCAUACUUACCGUCACAAACACCAGCUGGUAUCAAAGAUCUUCGCCAUGAGGAUUUGCUAAGCGUAAGGGGUAACCAGCACGGGAUAAGAAAGCAGCAUGAAAGAAUCUAUGAUUAUGAUACGUAUAAUGACUUGGGCAACCCUGAUAAGGACGAGGAGCUUGCGAGACCUGUCCUUGGGGGUCACGAGAGGCCUUAUCCUCGUCGUUGUAGAACUGGCAGACCUCCCACUCUCUCUGAUCCACUGUCUGAGAGUAGAAUUGAGAAGCCUCAUCCGGUUUAUGUACCUCGGGAUGAAACUUUUGAGGAGAUCAAGCAGGACACUUUCUCCGCUGGGAGGUUGAAAGCUCUGUUCCACAAUCUUUUGCCCUCAAUCGCAGCCACACUGUCGAGUUCAGACAUUCCUUUCAAGUGCUUCUCCGACAUUGACAAGCUUUAUAUUGAGGGUGUUCUGUUGAGAGAUGAAGAGAGCAAAGGGGUAGUGGAAAAUCUCCUAGUUGGCAAGAUGAUGAAACAGGUCCUGAGUGCUGGAGAGAGUUUGUUGAAAUAUGAAAUUCCUGCAGUUAUAAAAGGGGAUAAAUUUUCUUGGUUGCGGGACAAUGAAUUUGCAAGACAGACCUUAGCAGGGGUCAAUCCAGUGAAUAUUGAGCUAUUGAAGGAAUUCCCCAUCCGCAGCAAUCUGGAUCCUGCCCUCUAUGGGCCUCCUGAAUCUGCAAUAACAAAGGAACUUCUAGAGCAAGAACUUAGUGGAAUGAGCUUGGAACAGGCUAUUGAGGAAAAGAGACUGUUUAUCCUUGAUUACCAUGACAUGCUCUUGCCCUUCAUCAAGAAGAUGAACUCUUUACCUGGGAGGAAAGCUUAUGCCUCUCGGACAAUUCUCUUCUAUACAAAGGCUGGCAUUCUUCGUCCUAUAGCAAUUGAGCUUUCACUUCCUAAAAUGCACUCUUCCCCACAAAACAAAAGAGUUUACACGCAAGGACAUGAUGCCACAACACACUGGAUUUGGAAGUUGGCAAAAGCUCAUGUCAGCUCAAAUGAUGCUGGCGUCCACCAACUAGUAAAUCAUUGGUUGAGGACUCAUGCAUGCAUGGAGCCAUAUAUUAUUGCUACUCACAGACAGCUAAGUUCAAUGCAUCCAAUUUACAAGCUGUUACACCCUCAUAUGCGCUACACAUUAGAAAUUAAUGCGCUUGCUCGGCAAAAUCUGAUAAACGGAGGCGGUAUUAUUGAAGCUUCUUUCAGUCCAGGAAAGUAUGCCAUGGAACUUAGUUCAGCAGCUUACAAGAACCUGUGGCGAUUUGAUAUGGAGUCACUGCCAGCAGAUCUUAUUCGGAGGCUGAUAGCAGAUUUGUCAUCAACCAUCAUCUGUAUGGGUCUUCUGCAUUCCAGUUUUAAGUCUCCAAGAAGUGCCUCCAACCACACGCAUUGACACGCUGUUUCCGCAGAGGCUAUAUACUCUGCUUCACACGAGGAAAGUGCCACCACGCCUUGUUUUUUAGAACACCAGGAGAUAUGUGCUCCUGCAUAUUUAAUGAAGUACCCGAAAGUGCUCCUUCUAUCGACCUGAUCUCCGCUCCAGUCAGAGUCGCUCCAAACUUCCAGUGUGCUUCCCAUGCUGCUCGUCAUCUUUGGGAACAAGAGACCAUAGUGAAUUGUUCCUUUUAUGUAUACAACGAAGCAUCCACCUUUUUCUCAUCUCGUUGCUCUGUCAAUUUCAGAUUAGCAAUGACAGGAACUGUUGUACUAUUGCAAUCUGCCAUAUUAAAACGUUUCAGCACUUCACUGAUAUACCUCUUUUGAUGCAAGAGAACUCUGCUUGCAGUUUCAACAAACUCCAAUCCGAGAAAAUAAUUCAGUCUUCCUAAGUCGGUCAUAUCAUACUCUUCUCUCAUUCUUUGCUUAAAUCCUUCGAUUGCCGAUUCAGAGUCUCUAGUUACAAGAAGAUCAUCAACGUAUAAGCAGACCAACAAAGUAUUCUGCUGUUUUGCAGACUUUAUAUACACUCCGGACUCCAUAGAACUUUUCAGAAAACCCAGUUUCAGAAGCAAUGUGUUGAUAUGAUUAUUCCAGGCUCGUGGUGCUUGCCUCAACCCAUACAAGGCUUUGUUCAAUCUAUAGACCUUAUGUUCUUUACCCUUCUUCUCAAAUCCAGGUGGCUGUCUUACAUAAACCUCCUCCUUCAAUGGACUGUUUAAGAAGGCUGAUUUUACAUCCAGCUGACAUAUUUCCAGUUCUUACGACAAGCUACUGCUAUCACUAACCAAACAGUCUCAAGCCUUGUGACUGGUGCAAACACGUCGGUGAAAUCCACUCCUGGUUUCUGCAAAAAUCCCUUUGCUACAAGUCUCGCUUUGAACUUUGCAACUUCACCGUUCGAUUUAUACUUGGUCUUGAAGACCCACUUUACUUUAAUAGCUUGUUUAUGUUCAGGGAAUAGCUUCUGCAUCAGCUAGGAAUGUGAGAUGUGCUUGAUCAUCAAGAUCUGCAUUGUCACUGUCAGCAAAUACUUCAUAAUCAGCUAGCCUUGAAGAAGGAAAUCUCAUCCUCUGUGAUCUUCUGCUAUUGACCUCAUCACGUUUCUCAGCCUGUUCAACACCACCAGAAGUGCUAUCUUCCAGCCAGCUUGGAACAAUUGCAGACUUCUUGUUUGUCUUAUCUUCAGAUUUCUAAUCUGUCUCAGUCUUUCUCCAUUUGAAUGUGGCUCCCUUGUCUAUAAUCACAUCUCUACUGAUCACAAUUUGUUUGUUCUCAGGGCUGUAUAGUCUGUACGUGCGCCUGUGGAAUGAUAUCCAAUGAAGACAAAAGUUUCGCUUUUGUCAUCCAACUUCUUCCUUCUUGCGUCUGGAAUGUGCCUGGGCAUGGCAGAAGAAGACCCUUCAAUGCCCUGUGGUGUAAAACUCGUGAUUGAAGACUACCCUUAUGCUGCAGAUGGACUCUUGAUCUGGUCCGCCAUAAAAGAAUGGGUAGAAUCUUAUGUUGGAC